rnacentral:sRNA from 1 species
CCCCUGUCCCGGCUGCUAGGGAGGGAGGUGGAGAAGGAGCGCGGGGCCAUCGCUGUCUGCAGUUCUAGGCUUGUAGCCUUUGCACUAACCCUGCCGCAGUACAUAUCCAGCCAUACUCAUGGACCCCAGUGAUUUCCCCAGUCCAUUUGACCCAUUGACCCUGCCAGAGAAGCCCCUGGCUGGAGACCUACCAGUAGACAUGGAAUUUGGAGAGGAUCUGCUGGAAUCCCAGACUGCCCCAACUCGAGGAUGGGCCCCCGCUGGCCCUUCUCCAUCCUCGGGAGCCCUGGACCUGCUUGAUACCCCUGCUGGCCUGGAAAAAGACCCUGGAGUCCUGGAUGGAGCCACUGAGUUGCUGGGGCUGGGGGGGCUGCUCUAUAAAGCCCCCUCUCCCCCGGAGGUGGACCACGGUCCUGAGGGAACCCUGGCAUGGGAUGCGGGGGAUCAGACCCUAGAGCCUGGACCAGGGGGCGAGACCCCUGAGGUGGUACCACCCGAUCCGGGGACUGGGGCAAAUUCCUGUUCACCCGAGGGGCUACUAGAGCCUUUGGCUCCAGAUUCUCCAAUAACACUGCAGUCCCCGCAUAUUGAAGAGGAGGAGACCACCUCCAUAGCUACUGCGAGAAGGGGCUCCCCUGGGCAGGAGGAGGAGCUUCCCCAAGGGCAGCCACAGAGCCCAAAUGCCCCCCCUAGCCCUUCAGUGGGAGAGACUCUGGGGGAUGGAAUCAACAGUUCUCAGACCAAACCUGGGGGCUCUAGCCCCCCUGCACAUCCUUCCUUGCCAGGAGAUGGCCUGACUGCGAAGGCGAGUGAGAAGCCGCCUGAACGGAAGAGAAGCGAGCGCGUUAGGAGAGCAGAACCUCCAAAACCUGAGGUUGUAGAUUCCACUGAGAGCAUUCCAGUGUCAGAUGAGGAUUCUGAUGCCAUGGUAGAUGACCCCAAUGAUGAGGACUUUGUGCCAUUCCGGCCCCGGCGCUCUCCUCGCAUGUCCCUACGCUCAAGUGUGUCACAAAGGGCUGGGCGCUCUGCAGUGGGCACCAAGAUGACUUGUGCACAUUGCCGGACACCACUGCAGAAGGGGCAGACUGCCUAUCAGCGCAAGGGGCUGCCUCAGCUCUUCUGCUCGUCAUCCUGCCUCACCACUUUCUCCAAGAAGCCCUCGGGCAAAAAGACCUGUACCUUCUGCAAGAAGGAGAUCUGGAACACCAAGGACUCGGUUGUGGCGCAGACUGGUUCUGGAGGCUCCUUCCAUGAGUUCUGCACGUCCGUCUGUCUCUCCCUGUAUGAGGCCCAGCAGCAGCGCCCGAUCCCCCAGUCUGGGGAUCCUGCCGAUGCUACUCGCUGCAGCAUAUGCCAGAAGACUGGAGAGGUCCUGCACGAGGUCAGCAAUGGCAGCGUGGUGCACCGGCUCUGCAGCGAUUCUUGCUUCUCCAAAUUCCGGGCCAACAAGGGACUGAAAACCAACUGUUGUGACCAGUGUGGGGCUUACAUCUACACCAAGACCGGGAGCCCUGGCCCUGAGCUCCUCUUCCACGAGGGCCAACAAAAGCGGUUCUGCAACACAACCUGCUUGGGGGCGUACAAGAAGAAAAACACACGUGUGUACCCAUGUGUCUGGUGCAAGACCCUGUGUAAGAACUUUGAGAUGCUAUCACAUGUGGAUCGUAAUGGCAAGACCAGCUUGUUCUGUUCCCUGUGCUGUACCACUUCUUACAAAGUGAAGCAGGCAGGGCUCACUGGCCCUCCCCGACCCUGCAGCUUCUGCCGCCGCAGCCUCUCUGACCCCUGUUACUACAACAAGGUUGACCGCACAGUCUACCAGUUCUGCAGCCCCAGCUGCUGGACCAAGUUCCAGCGCACAAGCCCCGAGGGGGGCAUUCACCUGAGCUGUCACUACUGUCACAGCCUCUUCAGUGGCAAGCCUGAGGUCUUGGACUGGCAGGACCAAGUGUUCCAGUUCUGCUGCCGUGAUUGCUGUGAGGACUUCAAGCGGCUUCGGGGUGUGGUGUCCCAGUGUGAGCACUGUCGGCAGGAGAAACUGUUGCAUGAGAAACUCCGAUUCAGCGGAGUGGAGAAAAGUUUCUGCAGCGAAGGCUGUGUGCUGCUGUACAAACAGGACUUCACUAAGAAGCUAGGCUUGUGCUGUAUCACUUGUACUUACUGCUCCCAGACCUGCCAGCGCGGAGUCACUGAGCAACUGGAUGGCAGCACCUGGGACUUCUGCAGUGAGGACUGUAAGAGCAAAUACCUGCUGUGGUACUGCAAGGUAAGGAGGGUCAGCAUGCGAGUGAGGCGGGAAAGAGGGUGGUGGGGAGCACGGGCUGUGGUACUGAGCUCGGGGUGUGGACAGAUCUCCAGGGAGGGCAGCCAGCCUUCCAUCUCUAAGCCGGCCCGAUCUCCAAGGGGAGGAGCAUGGCUUAUCCUGGGGGAAAGAAAGGGCCCAACACAUUUUAGGGAGGCAGGUCUGACCAUCCUUUUGACAUCCUCAGGCUGCCCGGUGCCAUGCGUGUAAGCGCCAGGGGAAGCUGCUGGAGACCAUCCACUGGCGUGGGCAGAUCCGUCAUUUCUGCAACCAGCAGUGUCUUCUGCGCUUCUAUAGCCAGCAGAACCAACCCAACCUGGAUACCCAGAGUGGGCCCGAGAGCCUCCUGAACAGUCAGUCUCCUGAGUCAAAACCCCAGACACCCUCUCAAACCAAAGUGGAGAACAGCAACACAGUGAGGACCCCAGAGGAAAAUGGGAAUUUGGGCAAGAUCCCUGUGAAGACCCGAUCAGCUCCCACUGCUCCCACCCCUCCACCCCCACCACCCCCAGCAACACCCCGCAAAAACAAGGCUGCCAUGUGUAAGCCACUGAUGCAGAAUCGGGGCGUCUCCUGCAAGGUGGAGAUGAAGUCCAAAGGAAGUCAGACAGAAGAGUGGAAGCCACAGGUGAUCGUGCUGCCCAUCCCAGUGCCCAUCUUCGUGCCAGUGCCUAUGCAUCUGUACUGCCAGAAAGUCCCGGUGCCUUUCUCAAUGCCUAUCCCGGUGCCUGUGCCCAUGUUCUUGCCCACUACCUUGGAGAGCACAGACAAGAUUGUAGAGACCAUUGAGGAGCUGAAGGUGAAGAUCCCUUCCAACCCCUUGGAGGCCGACAUCCUGGCUAUGGCAGAAAUGAUUGCAGAGGCUGAGGAGUUAGACAAGGCCUCAUCUGACCUUUGUGAUCUUGUGAGCAACCAGAGUGCAGAGGGACUCCUGGAAGACUGUGACCUGUUUGGGCCUGCUCGAGAUGAUGUCCUGGCCAUGGCAGUCAAGAUGGCCAAUGUCUUGGAUGAGCCUGGGCAAGAUUUGGAGGCAGACUUCCCUAAGAAUCCUCUGGACAUUAAUCCCAGUGUAGACUUCCUCUUUGAUUGUGGCCUGGUAGGGCCUGAGGAUGUGUCUACUGAACAAGACCUUCCCCGAACCAUGAGGAAGGGUCAAAAGCGGCUGGUGCUUUCCGAAAGCUGCUCCCGGGACUCCAUGAGCAGUCAGCCUAGUUGUACCGGGCUCAACUAUUCAUAUGGUGUCAAUGCUUGGAAGUGCUGGGUGCAGUCAAAAUAUGCCAAUGGAGAAACCAGCAAGGCCAAACCCAUGCGUAUCAAAGAGGAUAUUCUCGCCUGCUCAGCUGCUGAGCUCAACUACGGUCUGGCCCAGUUUGUGAGAGAAAUCACUCGGCCCAAUGGUGAACGAUAUGAACCCGACAGUAUCUACUAUUUGUGUCUUGGCAUCCAGCAGUACUUGCUGGAAAAUAACCGGAUGGUGAACAUUUUCACGGACCUUUACUACCUGACUUUUGUUCAAGAACUCAACAAGUCUCUGAGUACCUGGCAGCCCACACUCCUCCCCAACAAUACAGUGUUCUCUCGAGUGGAGGAGGAGCACCUCUGGGAGUGUAAGCAGCUGGGGGUCUACUCGCCCUUUGUCCUCCUCAACACCCUCAUGUUCUUCAACACUAAGUUUUUUGGGCUGCAGACAGCUGAGGAACACAUGCAACUCUCCUUCACCAAUGUGGUGCGGCAGUCCCGCAAGUGUACCACCCCUCGGGGCACCACCAAGGUGGUGAGCAUCCGCUACUAUGCCCCAGUCCGCCAGAGGAAAGGGCGAGACACGGGUCCUGGAAAACGGAAGAGAGAAGAUGAAGCCCCUAUCUUAGAGCAGCGUGAGAACCGCAUGAAUCCCCUCCGCUGCCCUGUCAAGUUCUAUGAAUUCUAUCUCUCAAAAUGUCCUGAAAGCCUCCGGACUCGCAAUGAUGUGUUCUACCUGCAACCUGAACGGUCCUGCAUCGCCGAGUCACCUCUCUGGUAUUCUGUGAUCCCCAUGGACCGCAGCAUGUUGGAGAGCAUGCUCAAUCGCAUCCUGGCUGUGCGCGAGAUUUAUGAGGAACUGGGUCGUCCUGGGGAGGAAGACCUGGACUGAGCUCGUGUGCCAUCCAUAUCCAUCUUUCACGUCAAUGUCUGUCCUGUGGCCAUGUCCCUCAGGGUGACAGGCCCAGGAACCAAUGCUACUCAUUCUGAAGGGCCCUGACUGCUCCUUUCCGCUCACCCAUUCCCUGCCUUCUCUAGGAACCCUGGCUUUUAUCUUCUUCCAUACCACUUGACAACCAUGGGGCCCUGGUCUUCUGUACUCAGGGGCUGGUCUCCCAGUGAUGGGCAAAAGCCAGCUUGCCCGUUUUCUUUAUGCUUCAGAGUAAACCCCUCCUUCUGGGUCCAGACUCUGGGUGGAGUGUUAAUAGCUCUGGUGAUCCUGUUGGCUUUGGGUUUCCUGACCCAUCCCGCAUAGGUAGAGCCUCUUAUUCCUAGGCAUGACCUAGGGAAAAACCCAGCUGCCUUCUCUGCCCUGUGCCCACUCCCUUCUCUACUCUUCCCCAGCACCACGCAAAAAGGUCUUAUCUGAAAGGUAUGAAAUAAACAAUGAAAGCGAUGAGGGGACCAUUUACAUAAAACACAGAGCUUAGACACUCUUCCCCUCCUAUGAAAUAAUUGGUUGUUGGCACCAUCUCACCACCGCAUAUCCCUCACCCCCUCGGCAAGCACCAAUCCUUGGUGCUGCCGUUUUUAAAAUCUUCCAAAUGCCUUUUUUUCCUCAGAGGCAGAGAAUGACUAAGUACGGGGAGCAGACUCCUGUUGUGCAGACUCCUGUCCCCUUGGUUUCUGUGUUUGUCUCUCUGCCAUCUUAGGUUGCCAUGAGCCAUGGUGUCAACAUGCUUAGCCCCCUCUGUAACUGCCUCCCUUUAGUUCAAUGGACAGACCUCCCAAGGCAAAAACUACCUUCUGACUUGGGUUAAGGCUGGGUUCCCCUCUAUUGUUCCCCUAUCAUAAGAGCUAGGCCAAGCCUGUGGGAGCUUGAGUCAUGCAGGAUGGGAUCUGUGGUCAAAGGACAGGCGAGGAGCUGUGGGCGCAGGGCCUGCCCCCACUGCCUACAUCUUCUCUUUUCCCCAUCUUGCGUUGGAGGUCCCAGAAAACAAUUAGCUUCUGGAAAAGGGGGUACCCAGUUCUUCCCCUGUUGACUUUGCUGUUUCCCAGGCUCCUUUUUGUGUUUUUAUAACUGUCACCAGUUAGCCACUGUUUAAAUUGUAUAUAUUGUUCUGAGGCGCCUGGCCUGUCCCUUCAGUGAGCCAUGCCCACCCUUGUGUUGUAGUGAGAAGCUGUUGUCACAACUAACCUUCUGUCUCUGAAAUUGUUUGUUUCAAAUAAAGAGUUAAAAUUG